AAGAGAAACUGCCCUUUGGGUAGAUCUCCCACCCUUUGUAUAUUUUACCCUACGUUGCUUUGGCAGGCCCGUCUUCUGACCACCGGCUUCUAGCUGGUCCGUGCCUGCCAGAGGAUCCUAAACUCUUGAUUUCAAGUUGUCCGAGUCCUAUAUAAUUGUAA
rnacentral:misc_RNA from 1 species